rnacentral:lncRNA from 1 species
GAGGGAAAGAUUUUCAAACCUGUUAUAAGGAGUUUGAUUAACUUUACCUUGAACUCAAAUUUUUUGGUAUAAUGUAGAAGAAAAAAAUCCUGAAGAGGAUUUAACACAUUGGGCUGUGCAACUAUCCCUAUUAUAUUCUCUAGAGUGCCCAGUAUAUGUCAUCUCAGGCAUUGAGAAAUACCGCAGUGAUCUUUUGCUUGGAACUGAGAGUAACAACGGAUCACAUGCUAUAUUAUUAAAAUACUUCAUAUUGAGUAUAUGCUGGAAGAAAGAGGAGGCUUACAGCACUCUAGUAGUAUUUUUGGUGGAAAAGAACUCUGAAAAACUGGAUGAUUUAUGGGGUUAUCACUGCCCAGAGAUUGAAAAAAAUUAAGGGAAUUUGUAAAGAUACCUGUUGAACCAUGAGAUUAAAAAAA